CCCUUAGAUGUUCUGGGCCGCACGCGUGCUACACUGAGUGGAUCAGCGGGUCAGGUUGCGCGAAAGCGUUUCCUAAUCUUUAAAUCCGCUCGUGAUGGGGAUUGACGGUUGCAAUUUUCUGUCAUGAACGAGGAAUACCUUGUAAGCGCGGGUCAUCAUCCCGCGCUGAAUACGUCCCUGCCCUUUGUACACACCGCCCGUCGCUCCUACCGAUUGGGUGUGCUGGUGAAAUGUUCGGAUCGGCCGUUUGUCGCGGUUUCCGCGGCUCGUGGCUGAGAAGUUCAUUAAACCCUCCCACCGAGAGGAAGGAGAAGUCGUAACA
rnacentral:rRNA from 1 species